rnacentral:rRNA from 1 species
AUUGAACGCUGGCGGCGUGCUUAACACAUGCAAGUCGAUCGGUAACGCGGGGGCAACCCUGGCGACGAGAGGCGGACGGGUGAGGAACGCUUGGGAAUCUGCCCUUCAGCGGGGGACAACCCGGGGAAACCCGGGCUAAUACCGCAUACGCUCCACGGAGGAAAGCCGGGGACCGCAAGGCCUGGCACUGAAGGAUGAGCCCAAGUCGGAUUAGCUAGUUGGCGGGGUAACGGCCCACCAAGGCGACGAUCCGUAGCUGGUCUGAGAGGACGAUCAGCCAAACUGGGACUGAGACACGGCCCAGACUCCUGCGGGAGGCAGCAGUGGGGAAUAUUGGACAAUGGGCGAAAGCCUGAUCCAGCGACGCCGCGUGGGUGAAGAAGGCCUGCGGGUUGUAAAGCCCUUUCGGUAGGGACGAAAGCCUCCGACCUAACACGUCGGGGGGUUGACUUAACCUACAAAAGAAGCACCGGCUAACUCUGUGCCAGCAGCCGCCGUAAGAC